AGCGAACGCUGGCGGCAGGCCUAACACAUGCAAGUCGAACGAACUCUUCGGAGUUAGUGGCGGACGGGUGAGUAACACGUGGGAACGUGCCUUUAGGUUCGGAAUAACUCAGGGAAACUUGUGCUAAUACCGAAUGUGCCCUUCGGGGGAAAGAUUUAUCGCCUUUAGAGCGGCCCGCGUCUGAUUAGCUUGUUGGUGGGGUAAUGGCCCACCAAGGCGACGAUCAGUAGCUGGUCUGAGAGGAUGACCAGCCACAUUGGGACUGAGACACGGCCCAAACGCCUACGGGAGGCAGCAGUGGGGAAUCUUGCGCAAUGGGCGAAAGCCUGACGCAGCCAUGCCGCGUGGAUGAUGAAGGUCUUAGGAUUGUAAAAUCCUUUCACCGGUGAAGAUAAUGACUGUAGCCGGAGAAGAAGCCCCGGCUAACUUCGUGCCAGCAGCCGCGGUAAAAC
rnacentral:rRNA from 1 species